AAUGCCUUAAAAAGCACAUGAGAUGUUUAACAGAAUUUGUCAUCUUAGAAAUGGAAAUCAAAACCACUGUGAGAUACCACUUCACAACCACUGGGAUGGGUAAAAUGCCAGUAUUGGACAGUGAUAUGUUGCUGAAUUUGGGAAACUGAAAUCUUGAUAUAUUGCUAGUGGGAGGGGAAGUAAAAUGGUACAGUUGCUUUGGAAAAGUCUGGCAGUUCUUCAGAAAAGUUAAGCGUAAAAUCACCGUACAACCCAGCAAUUUCACUCCUAGGCAUAUGCCCAAGAAAACUGAAAACAUUUUUACAAAAAAAAAGUCCUAUGCAAGAAUCUUCAUAAUAUCAUUAUUCGUAAUAGCAGAAACAGCCAGGUGUCUGUCAACAGAUGAAUGGAUGAAGAAAAUACGUACACAAUGGAAUAUCACUCUGCCGUAAAAAGGAACAUGUGCUCCAACCUGAAUGAGCCUUGGACGUGAAAGAUUCCGGCACCAAAGGCCACGCCAAAGGUCAUGCACUGUGAGGUUCUGCUCACCUUGGACAUGAAAGAUGCCAGCACCGAAGGUCACGCCAAAGGUCACGCACUGUUUGAUUCUCCUCACAACAGGUGUCCAGAAUGGGCAAAUCCAGAGAGACGGAAGUGGGCUGGCGAUUGCCAGGGUCUGGCGGAAGGAAAGAGCAGGUGCUGACUCUUAAUGGGUUCAAGGUUUCUUUGGCUGAUGGUAAAAAAGUCCCGGAAUUACAUACUAGUGGUUGAUGUGCAGCUUUGAGAAUAUGCUAAAAAGACUGAAUUGUAUCCUUUAAUAUUGGGGCUUUUAUGGUUUGUAAAUUGCUUUUCAAUUUAAAAAGGAACUCCAGAACUUCUUUGGUGUUGAUAGUUAGAUUGUGAAAGAGACAGUAUCCAAAACAUGUUACUAUGUAACUCACGUCCCCAGAGAGUUAAACUUCAUUUUCUGAGGAUCUUAAGGGAUGUGUUUGAGCCUAGGAGACACAACAAUCCUAUACAAUAUGUUACGGCCCAUCUUACUGAUUUCUAGCUCACAUAACCAUAUUCAGGGAAAAUGGACAUGUAAACAUGAGCUGAAUGCUAUGCAGAGGCACAUUCCUCUUACGUGGAUGGUCUUAAAUGGUGCAGCAAGAGAUGCAGUCAUAGCAACGUUAGUUUAAUUUCCAUGGCAACAGGAAUUUGGCACAUCUGAUGAGUUAGAUCUCCCUGCACAGCUCCUAAGAGGGUUGCCCAUUUCUGUGUGGUGUCUUUGUAUGUUCUCGCUGUGGAAAUAAGUGAUAGCACCUGCACAAACACUUGCCCGGAAACACACACGAAGCUGGUGAAGGCAGACGACAGGCGAGAGGAAAGCAUGGCUCAGCCCUGGCAAAGGAAACAGUUAUUCCAAAUGCAGAAGAUUCAGGAACAUGAUCUUUGGGAAGAGUGGUGAUGUCCACGGAUCUCACCGCUGUCGGAUUGUAUCUGUGCAGCCAGUUACCGGAGCCGCCAGAUACAUGUGUUGGUAUUGGUGUCAUCACUCAACGCUUCUGACCUUUCCUGGUGCUGAGGAUGACUGCAUGUGGUGGAAGCAAAGUGCUGACUUAGCACAGAUCAUCAGAUCCCAGUUCUUUUCUAUCAAGGGGGGCAGGGUUAGAACCCCCCCACUCCCCAAUCCGAUUGUUGAAAAUAAUAGUUGGCUUGGGAGGGUUUUUACUCCUUAGGUUGAAGCUGUGCAUUUCUGGAGCCUGGGCUGUCAGCCGUGGUGGCUGGGGAAUGCUGGGGCUGUGUUUGUCCGGCCGCCGGCAGCCCUGCUGGUGGGUCCUGCCUCUUUGACACCAUUCAUUUCUGAAGCUUGCUUUCCCCGUUGGAAGUAGCAGCACUGGAGGAAUGGCCUUCUUCCUACAGCAAAGCUCUGCCAGGAGAGAAGAAGACACGGAGCAUCUGUUGAGGGAUGUGAUGUUCGGGGCAAUGCACCAUGCAUUCUGCUUCUCAGCGGUACCUCCUGGUUGAUGUUACCAUCGCCUGGCAUUACCCAGGAGGUAACUCACAGAUGCCACACUGAUGGAAAGCCGCCGCAGCGUGGUUUGAGUCCAGGGCCAGCUGCAACAUAUCAGCAAGUUCAGGCUGGAUGCAUGUGCUCCACCCAGUGGGUGGGUCUGUGGAGCUGGGGUGGCGUGAGAGCCAGAGGGUCCUGGUGGAACCCUGACAGAUGACAGGAAAGAGGCCCAUGAGGAGAGAAACCAGUGGAUUCAAGGCAGGAAACCGAAGGAGCUCAGGAAGCAGCGAGCCGUCACAGGGUGGGAGGUUCAGGAGCCAGCAGAUUUGACUUCCUUAUGGAUCUUCUGCUGUAAAGAGGAGAGAACCUGUGGUUCUAGGCCAAGCAUCUCACUCAUCUCAUAACAUCUUAUAUUAGCCAACAUUUUUGUCAAGUUUUAGAAGUCCUACAACCUGGGGCCUUUGUGAACUGAGUUAUGAACCAGGUGAAGGCCGUGCAAGUGUCAGAGAAUCCAGGCCAGACGUGACGGGUGGAGGCUUGGUGGAGGUGAGGAGCCAGACAGUCUCGCUAAAUGUGCGGUGGCUCGCUGCAGACAGUGCCCAUCAAUCACCAGACAGACGCCCUUGAUCUUCAGCCCUCAUGACAGUUGCCCUUAUCCUGUCUGCCUCCACCUUCUGAGGCCUACAGGCGUUGCAAAUGUGUGGUUUUUAAACAGAUUUGGAUGAGUUGCUUUCUGCACAACACACCUGGACAGACGGAGGCUGGUUCUCCAAAAUGGCACCAGGGACCAUGCCUCUGUCGGGUGGCACAGGGCCUCAGAGCACAGCACCAGCUCCCUGGGAGAAGACGGUGCCCGUGGUACGGAAGAAAGAAGAGGCACACAGUGCUGAGGUGUGAACUCUAGUUUGCUCUUAGACAUGACACACAUGCCUUCUGGAAGUUUCCACGAAGCACUGUUAAAGCCACCAGUGUAGAAAGGUCCUCAGAUCAGGAGACCCAGCACAUACUUGUAUUUGAAAUCCUUCAUGUGCUGCAAUCUCUUCAAAGAGGACCACAAGUUGUGUCUAAUAACAUAAAAUUAAUUUUUUAUUA